AAAAGAGCAAAAACAACCACCCUGCUGCUGGUAGGAAUAACCUGCUUGUUUUGUGCUCUGUGGUUCUUGGUGUAAUUGAAAGGAUGGUAUUUUACCCCAGUGCCUUUAACACAAACCUAGAAUAGAAAUAAGUUGGAGAAGUGUUGGAUUCUGACCUCAAUAGGCGAUUGCUUGUUUAAAUGGUAGUUGAAAUUAUGGCUAAAGUAUUUAGAGUAUAAGGCUGAGGGCUUAUCCACUGGGAACAGUGCAGGGGCAAUGCAGAGAAAGGAUGGUAAAGCAGGAAAAAAACCUGCAGAAAUGUAAUGAGAAGAUACAUAAGGUAAAGAUGUGCUGCCCAUGUUACUGUGAGGUGAAAAUGUGUUGCUGUCAGAACUCAGCGGGAUGUAGGGUAAAGUCCACUGGCUUCAAAAUAACCUGCAAUAAGAUAGCUGGUAAGUUGUUACUUUAAGUGUCCAAGUUAGCCUGCUGAAGAAUGCCAGUGCAGACCUGUCUUAGUAACGAUAACUCGGUGUAGACAGAUGAGCUGUUGCAGGUGUGUAUGCAAUAGUUCACAAGCUGCUGUCUUUUUUAUUAUUCCUCCCUCUCUCCUGUCCAUUGGGAAAGCUUGACUGGGAGAAUUCAAUGUUGUAUGCAAGCAGGCAAGCUUUUAUAUGAGGGGAGGAAGCUUCAUCAGGAGACCUGUAACAUUGAUCAGAAUGUGGUUUUCGACAACAGUUUCUGCAAGGUUGCUUUUGACUGAUCCUUGAUCUGUGGUUGUACCUGAUUAACAGGGGGGCACUGAGUGGGAUACUUUAAUCUGUGUUGAGGAAAAGAGAAGCUGAUGCUUGUUUUUAAAUCAAGCCUUUUUUUUUUUUUUCUGAUCAGAGUAAGCCUCAGCAUUUCUUACCUCACAGCAUUUGAUUCAAGUCUGAAAGAAAACCGCACUCAUGUAGUCAUGAGUCCUGUCUUGAGUUUUAAGGCAACUUUCUGGAAUGCGACUUUACUUUUUAUUGCACAGCCCAGGCCCUAUUGCCAUCUAAGUCAGGAACUGCAAGGUGCAAUCUUGUGUACAGAGCUUAGCAUGAGUAUAUAACCGUUUCCUCCUGACAGACUUGUGAAGGUGAAUAGCAAAGAUGUGUCAUAGCUUUGGCAUUUAGUUUAGUAUGAAGCUGUUAAUUCUUUGGGGAAGGCUGCUCUUGCUAAAAUGAGGUCUACAGUGUCUCCACAAAGCUGUUAAUCCUCCUCUGAUAACGAAUACAGAAAAGCUAAGUAACUAAUUCACAGGUACCUUAGAAUUUGAAAAUUCUUCUAAGUAUAACCAUUAUUUUGUUCUUUUUUCCUAUUGCAAGGUUUGGAAUUCUUUUAUUGAAGUCAGAGGUCCAGAUCUCUUCAUAAAAUACUAGACUCUUGUACUCAAAAGAGCAUUGACGAAAGUAUCACUGUUAGCUACUGUAGGAGUUCAGUUGACAACCUUAGUGGAGAGCAAGACAGCUUCCAGAACGUGGUACCAACACAUCCUGUUAUAGAAUGGGUGAGUUCUGGCUGGAGAAUUAAAUUUGAUAUGUGGGACUGAAUGCUGUUCAAAUCUUUGUAUCAGUGAGAGAAGCCCCUUAAAAUGUUGCUCCUCUUAAGCAUCUGUCUUGUCUAAUUGACAUUUUUUAUUGUUUUGUUUUUGUUUUUGAAAGGCAAGUGGACAAACCAUAUACAAACGCAUUUAAAUUAAAAAACAAGAUGAGUGAGAUCCAUGAUGUUUAGAGGCCAUCUUGCUUCAAUGAUGCUAUGAUCUGAGUAGAAAAUCCUACCAUUUUGAGUUGUAUUUCAUGAGGAUAUCCCUAAGUCUUGUUUACACACUGAUUUAUGUUUCCUGAGAAUCCAUUCCAAAUUCAUUGAAAGCUACACUUCAAGGUAGGGUUACACAAUCACAAGCAGUUGAAUUAGAUGAGAGGUAGGUAGUUGACUAUUACUUAGAUAGUUGUUUUUUUUUUUUUUUUCUUUCUCCACCCCUACUUUGUGUGCUGCCCCUUAAACUCAGAAUUAGCGUUUUAGUGCUAAGGAUGUGAAUUUUUCAUUGUCUUAACUUUGUGUUUAUAAACUGGGGAAGAGGUCAAUGUGCGUUCUUUUGGGUUUAACUAUAGAUUAUGUGAGAAAACUUGGGCUUUAAGAAAAUGCAGGUAACCCUGAAAUGUAUUUGUACGUCAUGUUCUUUGAUACAUAGUGUAGAAAAAUAUUCCAGGUUUUCAGAAUAAAAACGGAUGAAAAAACAGCCUUCUGGAAAACCAUUGACCAGGUACCUUCAAACUUUGGGAUGUUUAGGUGUUUCAAGGAAAUUGAAUCAAGGAAAUUCAGUUUCCUUGAGAUAAUUUCCUUGAAACAGCUCUUUUCUUUUUUUUUAAGCUUAGCUGCUGUGUCAUCUUUCUGGUCAUAGAUACUUAUCAUGCUAUUCUUAACUAAAACAAAACCAAAAAUAUAAAAACCUCCACCACCAAAAAAAAAAUAGAAAACAAAACAAACAAAGGAAGAUGAAAAGAGAAGUUGCCAUUAGCUUGAGAUAGAAACAUCUCUUAAGUUCCCAGAGCAGGAGACCUGAUACAGAAACGGGUUGGAGCUGACCCAUCCUCCCAGCCUUGUUUUCCCUUUCACAGCCACCCUGCAGUGUUUGUCUCCACCGUUUAGAAACCUGAACUUCUUUGCACCCCUGUUUUUUGCAUAGUGCAGCCACGCUGUUGGGGCUUCUUUCUGCUGCUUUCCCUGGUCCAAAGGGGAAUCUCUUCCCUAUAACUUAGCUUGGCAGUGUCUGGGGGCUCUGAGCACUUCUAAAUUCAGAACCAGGAUUUCAGGCAAUUGCUAGAGCGCGCUGUGCUUUGUGAGGUGCAAAGACAUGAAGAAAGGGGGAAAGGGUAACUGCUAGUAAAGAAUAUUUCUAGCAAUCUUUAGAAUCUCUUAAGCUUGCUGUAGUGGCUCUAGUUAGGAGGAAAGCUUUCAAAAAUAAUAAGCAGGUUAAGCUUUCUGAAGCUAUAAGUAAAUGUGAAAGAACUGCUGUGUAUUAAGAUUAGGAAUCCAAAGUGCAGAUAUGCUGGGACAAAGUGAGGGGGAAGAUCUCAAUGUUGUCAGUCUCACUGAAUUUGUAAAGAAAAGUUAUGUAGCAUAGACUGACAUGUGUGUCAUGAACACUUUAGGGUGUGGGCAGUGGAGAGAGCAGCCAGAUGUACCUUCUGAGCCAGCUGUAGCUAGCUGAUAAGCCCUUCCAGAAGAGUUCUGCUAGGAGGAAAUAGCAGUAAUCACAGUUUGUGGUUACGAGAUCAUGGAUUAUCGCCGGGAAGCUAAAAGGAUAAACAGUGGAUCAGCAUCCUUGGUAUUAAGAAAACACAACAAAACAGAAGAGGUCUUAAAAAAUCCACAAGUUCAGAUUGCCACCGGGAUAUUUCCUAAACAAUCAGUGACUUCUCAGCAAUGCAGUGGGUUUUUCAUGUCUGUGUUAAGCUGUCCACUGUUAACUGUCAAAGUGGACAACAGCAGGGAGAAGCUUGGCUGCAUCCUUCUGUGCUCCAAGUUUCACCUCCAGGGCUGUGAGCAAGUAGGGAGGCCUCAGAAGGGAGUGAUGAGAAAAAUUGUAGUUAUUCAGGCAUACUGAACUACUUAUUAGACUAAAUUGCCUAAAUAACUUUUGAGUUUUUUAUUGUGGGUGGGGGUUUGUUUGUUUUUUAGUUUGUUUGCUUUUAACACUUAAAGUAUCUCUGGUGUGAAUGAAGUUCCUCAGGGCAUAGUUCCAGGCCUUGAAAACUGCAUUUGUCAAUAUGGCCACUGCUGAUGAAACCAUAUUCAAAAAAUUCUGAGAGAAUCAGCAUAAUAGAACAGUGGGUCCACUUCACUUUUAUUGACAGAUAAGUUUUCAAGAUGAUUUCGCAUCUUAAACCUUUAAAGAUGAAGAAAUUUUGUAAGUGCUUAAUAACCUUUUGGAAUCAUGACAGUUUUCUGUGAUGAAGAAGCAUUUUAAGCUUACCUUUGGAAAUUACUGUUUGCUGAAUGCUCUUUAUUUUGCUAGCAUGUAAAAAGUGCCAAAAACUUAAGUGUCUGGUCACUCUUUAACUCAUUAAUAAUUAAAAUUUGAAUUACCUUCAGAAUAUAGUGGAACUUUUGUGAAGCGAGACAUCAAAAUGCAUGCUCAAUAUUUAUUUACAGGGGUUAUAUUGAAGUUAUGGUGUGGCGUUCCUCACUUCAGUAGGGCUAUACCACUUUACAUUGGCUGAAAAUCUUUGCGCUUGUGGAAGCAAUCUCAGAGGAGUACAGGCAGUGAUCUCUCAUGUUUUUCAGAUCGUCACAGGUGCCUUUGCACCUGUCUGUAAUCCUAGGGGUGAGAACAGACAGCUCUUCCAUGCAGCUGCAACUCUUGUGGCAGCUAUGAAAGACAGUGGAUUAUUUGGAUCCACUGGGCUGAGAAUUUCCCUGUGAACAAAAUGAGCAUGAGUUGUAUCUUAACAGCUCCACUACCUGAAGAGAAGAGGGCCCUUCUUUCACCCAGGGCUGAGCUGAACAGACAAGGUUCGUUGCAAAUUCCUCUUUACUGUGCUUAUAGCCAUAAAACUACUGCCUGCCUUCCCACUUCCAGUGCAAGUAUCAAAAUACUCUUUAACCUUUUGAAUAGUAGCAAAUCAAGAAAUUUGUAGUCAAAGACAGUACUUAUUCUCAUUUUUUUUUGCUGUGGUAGUCUUAAGCCUUGCUUCCUUUUUGUUUUUUAAAAAAAAAAAUAAAAUACAUGUAUCACUUUUCUACAGGUGGGCAUGUAUAAAGUAGUUUUUUUUAUGUAUUGAAACAUUUAAAAAAAAUGAAGCCCAUAGUAAAGUAUGUCUGCUUGGUUAGCAUGCAUGAGUCAAUUUCUGUAAUUCUUAUGCCUCAAAUAUUUGUGCCAGUGCAGUGAGUGAUGUGGUAUGUAGCAUCCUGAACUGCACAGGAAUGUAGUUCCUUUACAUUAAGGGGUUUGCACUGGAAUUGUUCAGAUGAGUGAAGAUUUUUCAUAGGUAGGCAGCAGGUUCUUAGGAUUUUGCUGUUGCCCAAGUGGGACGUGAGUUCAUUCAGCAGGGACUUCCUUGGUGAAGAAGUCUAGCAAGUUUCCUAGAUGCUAAAUCAUUGUUUCAGGAGGGGGAAGAAGUGACUCUGGAGCACCAGCAGUUUUCAGUAAAGUUAUUUUGCAUGUUCCCAGGGGCUUGUGGAAAUGAAUGGGAGGAGCGGGUCCUAAUGAGUUCUGUGGUGCUGCUGACGCAGGUGUGUUACCCCCACUUGAGUUUGAGAAACAGAGGUCCUGACCUGGUCCGUCUUUAAAUCCAUUUAAGUUUACUCAUCCAGUUUAUCGGCUAUAAAUUUUUUGUUGACAUCCUCAUAAUAUUCACCUGCAAGGAAAACAUUCAUUAAAACAGCAGGAUGGAUGUGCCUUUCAUAUUUUAGUGUAAUCUGUUUGGUAUGUCCUGCACUCAGCUGGCAAGAUGCCAGGCGAAGCACACCACAUCAGUAAAACUAUGAAGCCUCUCAAACUUCCGUCAUGGGAGAAACAGUUUGUUACCUCUGACAACAACAUUUUGAGGGAUUUAAUUGCAGGUGUUUAGGGACGAGUCAUAUGUUGUAGUGUGGUUACAGGUGACUAGUUUGAGACCUCUGAGAAAGGUGAAGCAAGCUGUUUUGUACUGUUGUCCCCAUAUGUACUACUGUUUUCCUCUAAAUGCCAGAGAAUCAGUUUUGUUUCCAGAUAACUUUUCAGUAAGUUGUAAUGAGAGUUCACGGGUAGCUUGGACAGCACCAUGCCUGGUCUUCAGACGGUAACUUUCUGCUCAUGAGACGGGGUGAAUGGCAAUGGUCAGUGUUAUAUAAUCUUAUAAAUAGAUUAAGAUUGUCUCAAAAUUGUUCAUAAACCAAAGAGAAUAAAAGCUGGGAGAAUUCCAUCUUCUAAGGAGGCUGUUGUUAGAAACCUGAUCAUGCUGGCUUUUAAGAUCCUUACACCUUUUGUGUCCGUGCCCUGGAAGGUGGUACUCUGAAACCCGAGUCCUUUGGUUUGAUCCCAUCUCAAAGCAAGAUGCUAUGUAGAGGUAGAAAUACAGCUUUUUCCCUGGCAUACCUGAUCAAAUUUAAGGGGAUAGUCAAGGUAUUGGCUGCCUUUCUGCAUAUGCAAUUUUAAAAUUCUUAUUACCUAUUUUUUUUCCUGUUUCCCCUCCAUAUAGUAUUUGCCUAGAGCAGUAGCUUCGCUUCCACAUACUUAUCUUGAAUUGCACAUGAUUAUUAGGGCCGAGUAAUUUUGUUUGCUGAGGAAAUACCCUUACAGUGACUUACAGAUUUUAAAAUAAUUAUAAAAGAAACUUAAGGCCUGCCACUUAUGUUGGCAUUUUGUAUUUUGCUCAUGAUAACCCAGUAAAAACAUUCUCUUCUAGUGAUGUAUUGUGUCCUCAUCUAAAAGCAAUGUUAAUUUAUUUCCUCAUUUUAUUUUUAGCAUCCUUUUGGGAUGGAAUUCAAGAUAAACAUAAAAUAAUGCUUGAAAUCUGUUCUUUCUGUCCAUCCUUUACAAAUCCAUAGCCGUAAGGCUCCCUGCACCAUAUUUCCUUUACGCCCGCUGAGAAAGUAACUAUUUUGCAUAGCAGUUCUCUGUUUUGUAGAGGCAGUGAUGAAGCAGAGGAUGUGCGUUAUGUUGAGGAGCUGCACAUAAGCUUUCAUGCAGAUGUGCUGUACUGUCAGAAGGGAUAUAUGAUGAUCCAAACACCAGUCCUGUUCUACACCAGUAUUUAUUCAACAUGUCUGCAUCAGUGUUGCUGCAUCAAUGCAGAACUCCCCAGAGUAGGUGACCCUUCAGUUGUUUUGCUGCUUUGACAAACUGCUGGUGGUGGUGGUAUCUGCAGUGGCGUACAAAAGACCGCAAGCUCCCGCAUGGACUGGUGUGAACACAAGUCCUAUUUUGCUUCAGAGGUGGCAACCUUUAGCAGAAGAAUGAUACAGGGUGGACAGGUGGGGGCAGUAAGAUCUUAAAGUACCGCAGCCAAAUCUGUGAGAACCUGUUUGUUUAAAACCUUUGUAUGAACUCACUGAACUUGAAUUUGAAAGAGAAAGCAUCUACAGCCUGUCAUGAUGAUAGAGAUUGCAUAGCAAUUGGAAACAAAAGACUUUUGGAUUAACACGGCAGAAUUUGAGCAGCUUCAAUGGAACUACUCUGAAUUUAUUCUAAUAUAGCCAAAGGCAUGGUUUUACGCUCAGCUUUUUGUCUUAGUUGAUAAAGAAUAUCUGCUUGCAGUCUUGUAAAGUAAGAAUCGUAGUAACCUAAAUUUGUGGCAUUUCAGAGAGAUGGAAUAUGGUACACAAUAAAAGAAAGCUGCACAAAAGA